rnacentral:rRNA from 1 species
UACGUAGGGUGCAAGCGUUAUCCGGAAUUAUUGGGCGUAAAGAGCUCGUAGGCGGUUUGUCGCGUCUGCUGUGAAAACUGGAGGCUCAACCUCCAGCCUGCAGUGGGUACGGGCAGACUAGAGUGCGGUAGGGGAGAUUGGAAUUCCUGGUGUAGCGGUGGAAUGCGCAGAUAUCAGGAGGAACACCGAUGGCGAAGGCAGAUCUCUGGGCCGUAACUGACGCUGAGGAGACGAAAGCAUGGGGAGCGAACAGG